rnacentral:rRNA from 1 species
ACGCUCGACACCUACGGGAGGCAGCAGUGGGGAAUAUUGGGCAAUGGGCGCAAGCCUGACCCAGCAACGCCGCGUGAAGGAAGAAGGCCCUCGGGUUGUAAACUUCUUUUGACAGGGACGAAACAAAUGACGGUACCUGUCGAAUAAGCCACGGCUAACUACGUGCCAGAAGCCGCGGUAAUCUGAGCGGGCUGGCAAGGC